rnacentral:rRNA from 1 species
CGGGACGGGUGAGUAAUGUCUGGGAAACUGCCCGAUGGAGGGGGAUAACUACUGGAAACGGUAGCUAAUACCGCAUAACGUCGCAAGACCAAAGAGGGGGACCUUAGGGCCUCUUGCCAUCAGAUGAACCCAUAUGGGAUUAGCUAGUAGGUGAGGUAACGGCUUACCUAGGCGACGAUCCCUAGCUGGUCUGAGAGGAUGAUCAGCCACACUGGGACUGAGACACGGCCCAG